UGAUAUCGAGGAGAUAAAUCUCUCGGUAUAAAAGCAAUCUCAAAACCAACUCGAAAUUUAUUCAUACCACGGAAGAAAAGAUAAAAUUAUCAAUAACUAAAUACAUCACAACGCAAAUCGAAGCUUGGGUAAUUUUCACCACUUGCCUCCAACUAUUGACCAGUAACGGUAAAAUGAUGAAACCAUGGUCACUGGUCGGUGUCCUCUUGGUCACCCUGACUUGGAUGUUUGCUCCGACCGAGGGCAUGUGUGCCCGGCACUACCCGCAUCGAGGUUGCCAGUGUCAGUGUGGGGGUGAACUUAACGGUCACUGCCACUGCCCGUUCGGCGGACAAAUUCCGAACGUUUAUUGCCGAAAUGGCGGAAACCAUAUGAUUUGCUUCCCCUGGGCUGGUGGAGGAUGCCCAUUUCCCAGAUGUUACGAAUAAAUACGGCUCAAAAGUGAGAUCUGAAAUAUGUACAUAAUUCCAUAAAAACAUAUGUAUAUAUAUUAACCAAAUCUGUAUAAUUACUUGGAUUUUUUUUGAAAAUUUGACUAUGACGAUAAUUAAACAAGUUGCCUCGUUUACGGUCCAAAUUAGCUCUUUAAUAA